rnacentral:lncRNA from 1 species
CCUAACAGAAGAUUCUCCUUCAGAGACUCGAUGACUAAUUUCUCAUCUUCCGAAGGGGCGGAGAUCAACUUCCUGGUGAGUCCACGUGCCGCAGAGGAAAUGGUUCGGGCGAUGGAGAAGGCGAUGGAGAAAAGAGAGGCGAUUGUUUUAGUCGAUUCCGAUAUGAAAAUUUGCGGUUCGGAAGGAGAAAGAGAUGGAGAUGCCGCUGAUCUAGGGUUUAUGGAUCGGAAACGGAUUGACAUGGGAGAGGGACGGGAGUGGAGAGGAAGACGGAGAGACGGAGGAGAGAUGAAUUUAUAGUUAGUGUUUGCGAGACGAUUGGUGGAGACAGAGACGGCAGUCGCGGCGGAAAUCACUGUUCUGGUGGCCAUCGAAAGAGCCAAGGGGGGCACCGGAAGAGAUAAGGCCG